GUGCCAGCAGCCGCGGUAAUACGUAGGUGGCAAGCGUUGUCCGGAAUUAUUGGGCGUAAAGCGCGCGCAGGUGGUCCUUUAAGUCUGAUGUGAAAGCCCACGGCUCAACCGUGGAGGGUCAUUGGAAACUGGGGGACUUGAGUGCAGAAGAGGAUAGUGGAAUUCCAAGUGUAGCGGUGAAAUGCGUAGAGAUUUGGAGGAACACCAGUGGCGAAGGCGACUAUCUGGUCUGUAACUGACACUGAGGCGCGAAAGCGUGGGGAGCAAACAGGAUUAGAAACCCCAGUAGUCC
rnacentral:rRNA from 1 species